rnacentral:rRNA from 1 species
AUGACCCCAAGGUCCUGUCUUGAUGAAGACAGUGAGUUGAAGCUACUCACCAACAGGUGUGAGAAAACCUCUGUGCAGUCGCUGCCUCAAUCAGUUCAACUUCUUAAGUCUCGACUUAAAGCAGAAAGGCUUGCUUCAGCUCAGCUUCGACUUGAAGUCAAAGAUGCAAUGAAGAUGUCAGAGGACUGUUGUGCGCACCAUCAUGCCUUAAAUCUAGUGUUGAUACAUCUAUCAUUGACACAACUGAGGUCUACUCAGCUUCUUCAGCUCUUUGGGGGGGAGGGGGGCGACCUGGCCAGGCCUAGUGCCUUCUGA